rnacentral:sRNA from 1 species
CCCUGGAAAAAGGCUAAUUUCAGCUCUCUGGAACACAAGUUCUUUGAAAAGGUCCUGAAUGAGGAAGAGACCUACUGUUGUAGACAAAUAAUAUGAAUCAUAUUACAUAUGUCUUUUCCCUUCAUAUACAUCUGUUUAGUUUUGCAGUGGCUCCUGGGAUAAGAUGCUAAAGAUCUGGUCUACAGUCCCUACAGAUGAAGAAGAUGAAAUGGAGGAGUCCACAAAUCGACCAAGAAAGAAACAGAAGACAGAACAGUUGGGACUAACAAGGACUCCCGUAGUGACCCUCUCUGGCCACAUGGAAGCAGUUUCCUCAGUUCUGUGGUCAGAUGCUGAAGAAAUCUGCAGUGCAUCUUGGGACCAUACAAUUAGAGUGUGGGAUGUUGAGUCUGGCAGUCUUAAGUCAACUUUGACAGGAAAUAAAGUGUUUAAUUGUAUUUCCUAUUCUCCACUUUGUAAACGUUUAGCAUCUGGAAGC